GCCCUUGUGGUGUAGUAGUCAGCAUGCUCAACGCAUAACCGAAAGGUCCACGGUUCGAUUCCUGGCGAAGGCG
rnacentral:tRNA from 1 species